UUUUCAUGUGUGGCCUUUUUUCCAAGGUUAUCUCACAUUACUCUCAAUUUUCUUUCUUCUUUUUUUUAAAGUAAACUCUGCUUCCAAUGUGGGGCUUGAACUCACAACAUGAGAUCAAGUGUCGUAUGCUCUACUGACGUGGCCAGGCACCUGCCCCUCUCUCUUAAUUUUCUUAAUUCUCUACAUUUUAUUUAUUUAUUUAUAAUUCAAUUAGUUAAUAUAUAAUGUAUUAUUUGUUUCAGGGGUACCAGUCUGUGAUUCAUGAGUCUUAUAUAAUACCCAGUGUUCAUUACAACCCUAGUAAAAAAUUUUAAAAGUGUAAACUACAAAGAUAAAAUACAGUGCCCACACCACAACGCUUUCCCUCCCUCCUCCAAGAAUACCAGAGAGUGUGUCCUCAAGAGCCACAGAAGCCUCGCCUGAAACCCGAUCCCGAGGGCGAGGGACCCUGAUCCUUAGUUAGGCUACCCUCUGCAGUGACCCACUUUUUAAUAACUUCCUCGCCAGUGAUCAGGUUGUGCCCGCACUGAUGACAGGGCUGCCGCCGGGAGAGGCCUCCUACAAUGUUGACUCUGCCCUUCUCUCCCGGAGCUCCUGCCGCUGUCAAGACCAACGGCCUGCAAGCCAGCGUUCAGAAACACCUUUCAUCCACACCCGGCUCCGCAGAGGGGUAGGCUCUGCCAAGAACUGGUGACAUUCACGGCUUGAAUGGAGCUUUCAAAGCUGCUGUCCACGUGUUUCUGGCUGUGGAAGGUCCGGACUCCAGCCUGGAGUGACAGGGAGUGGUCUGAAACCGUGUGGACCACCUAGAAGGCACCGAAGCUUUGGCAAGUUAAGUACAAGCCAGUGGCGCACUGCACGGCAUCUGGAGAGACAGGGAGAAGACAAAUUGUAGGACUGAGAAGGAUCUAGAACGCAUCAAGUCCAGCAGCGGGCCUCAAAGCUGGCCCCCUCACGGGGAGACACUGCUGUCCUCCUAGCACCCAUCGAAGGAAGUGCUGGAGAUGAAAAGAUGAAGUCUCCACGUUUCAAAGCUGACAGAAGAAUGUUUUUGGAGGCGCUUCGCAAUAUGAAUUUGGAAGGCCUGCUCCUGGUUUUGAUCUCCGUAGUCCGCUGCUAAAAUGCCAUGGUUAAUAAAAGUC